CGGCGUGCCUAACACAUGCAAGUCGAGCGAGAAGCCUUUACAAGACUCUUCGGAUGACUUUAAAGGUGGAAAGCGGCGGACGGGUGAGUAACGCGUGGGCAACCUGCCUUAUACAGGGGGAUAACACCGGGAAACCGAUGCUAAUACCGCAUAACACAUAGAUAUCGCAUGGUAUUUAUGUCAAAGGAGAAAUCCGGUAUAAGAUGGGCCCGCGUCCAAUUAGCUAGUUGGUGGGGUAGAGGCCUACCAAGGCGACGAUUGGUAGCCGAACUGAGAGGUUGAUCGGCCACAUUGGGACUGAGAGGCGGCCCAGACUCCUACGGGAGGCAGCAGUGGGGAAUAUUGCGCAAUGGGGGGAACCCUGACGCAGCAACGCCGCGUGAAGGAUGAAGGUCUUCGGAUCGUAAACUUCUUUGAUUGGGGAAGAAGCAGUGACGGUACCCAAAGAACAAGCCACGGCUAACUACGUGCCAGCAGCCGCGGUAAUACGUAGGUGGCAAGCGUUGUCCGGAAUUACUGGGUGUAAAGGGCGUGUAGGCGGGGAUGCAAGUCAGAUGUGAAAAUCCGUGGCUCAACUGCGGAACUGCAUCUGAAACUGUAUCUCUUGAGUGCUGGAGAGGGAAGUGGAAUUCCUAGUGUAGCGGUGAAAUGCGUAGAGAUUAGGAAGAACACCAGUGGCGAAGGCGGCUUCCUGGACAGUAACUGACGCUGAGGCGCGAAAGCGUGGGGAGCGAACAGGAUUAGAUACCCUGGUAGUCCACGCCGUUAACGAUUGAUACUAGGUGUAGGAGGUAUCGACCCUUUCUGUGCCGGAGUUACCACAAUAAGUAUCCUACCUGGGGAGUACGCCUGCAAGGUUGAAACUCAAAGGAAUUGACGGGGGCUUGCACAAGCAGUGGAGUAUGUGGUUAAAUUCGAAGCAACGCGAAGACUCUUACCAGGGCUUGACAUCCUCUGACCGCUCUAGAGAUAGAGCUUUCCUUCGGGACAGAGAGACAG
rnacentral:rRNA from 1 species